GAUUUCUGGUUUAAUGCACCUGGCCCGCGGCCUCUAGGCUCGUUUACCAUCCUUCUAGAAAACAAUUCUGCCAUUCACUUGGUUGGGAUUGCGAUCUAGAUCAUUUACUUUGAAAAAAUUAGAGUGUUUAAAGCAGGCUUUUGCUAUGAAUACGGAGGAAUAUAGUAUUGGCCGGCCAGAGGUGAAAUUCUUGGAUUCGGUCAAGACUAACUUAUGCGAAAGCAUUCACCAAGGAUGUCUUCUUCUGUCUCU
rnacentral:rRNA from 1 species